CCUGCCCCUGCCCUAAAGGGUACUGGAGUGAAGCAGGAAUGGGGAAAUGCCAGGGGAGCCCUAGGCUGGCAACUUCCCAGGCUUCAGGGCUUGUCCAAGGCCCUGUAGAAGUACUGAGUUGUAGAGAAAGGUAGCAGGUCAAAAACCAACCUUGCCAGUGAUGAGUGGCUUAUACUGUACUCUGCCCCAGGAUGUGGGGGCUAGUUGGUAACUGGCAGUAGCCUCUGAAUAAGCCAAGGAAAAAAUAGAGAUUGGGUGUCUGAGAACAAAUCCUUUUUCAAAGGGAGUCCUGAAAACCUGGAAGGCUUUAUUUCUCCAGAAGACCUCUCCUGACUGAAAAACAUAAUGAAACAGUUGACCUUUUUUCAGAGUACGAACCAUUUCACAGAGGGCUACUUGCAAUGCAGUGGAUUGGAGCUGUGGAAACUAAAAAUCUACACCUGCUCAGUUGGUUUACAUCUGGG